rnacentral:misc_RNA from 1 species
UUCAUGAGUCUGGUAUUUUUGUUGCCAAAUGGGUCUCAAGAUGCAACAUCUUAAUCCUUCUUAAAGGAAGCCUAACGUUAGCCAGAACAACAUUAAAAUUUAGAAUGGGUCUGAAGUAUCUAAAUGCCACACCAAUUACUGUAGGUGAUAUGCAUAACUAAUACUUUUAUGACAGAAUGGUAUACUACUUGCCAUAAUUCAGAAAGAUAAAUGGCUUAGUGAGGGUUAAACUAAUGGUAUUCAUUUUACCUGAGCAUGAAGCGUUAUAAAUUAUAAUUAGAAUAGCUAAUUGCAAAU